rnacentral:lncRNA from 1 species
GUAGUGCAGAAGCUGAGGCGCCUGGUGGGUUCCCACGUGCGUCCUCCGCCCCCCACCCUCGGUUUUAAUAACCGUGAAAAAAAAAAAAAAAAGAUGCGUUUCCCGAACGUGGGUACUUAGCAAUACCUAGUAACUAAUGAUUUUUUGGGAAAUUAAAUAAGAUCAAAUUAUAAGCAAUGAACAUUUCAGAUGUCGAUUUAACACAGUUCCAAUGGAAACUGCUUGCCUGUUAUCUUUAGUUCGUGGGGGAAGCACUGUAGAAGUUUAGAAAUGGCUAGAGACAUCCCCAGAUUCCCAAGCAGAAUGAAAACUUCCUUUCCGGAAAACACAAAAUGUUCUCCCACAUCACACCCCGCCUGCAUUUAUCAAAAAAGAAAACACCUGAUGCUGGCUGUGUGCUGUUGGAACCAGAAACUUUUUAGCAUAUUAUAGUCGAGUGCCAGUGACUUCUUUGUUCUUUCAGAGGCAUUCUAAAAAGCGGCGUGUUUCACGAAUCUCAGAGACAACAACUUUCACAACUAUCAACUGUCACCUCCCAAACUGCCACAGAACCUUUUAAGUCCAACAUUCUGUCAUUUGUGGGAAAUACUCAUCUUCUAAAACACACUCUACUUAUUCUUUGAAUAGUAGUUGCAAAGCUAGUCAUCUCUCAGGAAGCACUUUCUAUUUCCAAAACUUUGGUUUCAUCAGUACCUGGAGCAAAGCUUCUGGCAGAAACACAAAUCCUCAUCAGGGGAGAGGCACAGGAUCAACUCACGGUUAUAAACUGGACUCCUGCUCUGACGGGUAGCAGCCAUCAACUUUGCCCGAUUCUCAUAAUUCUGAAGGGUCACCAAGGAGUUGCUACCAGCCACUGUACUUAAAGUGGUGUCACAGGAUUACAAAAUAGAAGAAAGUCUUUCUUCUCUGACUAAUAUGUUAGUGCUCUAGUAAGCAUCAAAGAUGAAAGACACACAAUGUGAGCCUGCUUUGGCCAACACAAAGUACUUACAGAAUUUUCAGGCCUACUUCCAGCCCUGGAGACAAAUUUCCCAUCAUUCUUCAUUACAGGAGUAAUCAUCCUCAUAGGGCUGUAAUAGCUUUUUUUUUUUUUUAGAUGGAGUCUCGCUCUAUCACCCAAGCUGGAGUGCAGUGGCUCAAUCUUGGCUCACUGCAAUCUCCACGGCUUGGGUUCAAGCGAUUCUCCCGCCUCAGUCUCCUGAGUAGCUGGGAUUACAGGCGUGUGCCACCACGCCCAGCUAGGUUUUGUAUUUUUUUUAGUAGAGACAGUGUUUCAUCAUGUUGGUCAGGCUGGUCUUGAACCCCUGACCUCAUGAUCUGCCCACCUCUGCCUCCCAAAGUGCUAGGAUUACAGGUGUGAGCCACCACGCCUGGCCGUAACAGCUUUUUUUUUUUUUAAGACCAGAAUGAAAUUCACAACAGUAAAGAAUAGAACUGAAGAGAAUAAGGAAAAGAAAAAAGGGGCUGAGGGAGAAGGAAAAGAAAAGAGAGUUUAAAAAGGUAGAGAAGGUAAGACUCCA